UACGGAGGAUCCAAGCGUUAUCCGGAUUCAUUGGGUUUAAAGGGUGCGUAGGCGGAAUGAUAAGUCAGUGGUGAAAUCCUGCAGCUUAACUGCAGAACUGCCAUUGAUACUGUCAAUCUUGAGUACAUUUGAUGUGGGCGGAAUGUGUCAUGUAGCGGUGAAAUGCUUAGAUAUGACACAGAACACCGAUUGCGAAGGCAGCUCGCUAAACCAUAACUGACGCUGAUGCACGAAAGCGUGGGGAGCAAACAGG
rnacentral:rRNA from 1 species